AUACUCACCUGGCAGGGGAGAUACCACUACCACUAAGGUGGUUUCCUCAGGGCAAGGCUCACCCAUUGCGCUCCAGGUUUGCUGACUCCUACGAUUUCUCCAAAUGUGGGAAACUCUGCAUAAUUUGUGAUAGCAGGGGACUGUAUUUGCUCUCUCCCAUA